rnacentral:tRNA from 1 species
UAUAACUCAGUCAGCGGCAGAGUGCUUGCCUAGCAUGUAGGAGGCCCUGGGUUCAAUCCCCAGUA